ensembl:lncRNA ARHGAP29-AS1 ARHGAP29 antisense RNA 1
AGAACGCGGCGGUCAGCUGCGCCCGGCCUGAAGUUGUCCCAACCGCGGCCGCGUCGGUCGCCCUUUUGACUUGCAGCAGGGCGGGCAGAGCGACUUAGAGGAAAAGUGACUUUUUGUACCCUCCUGCAGGGAGCAGGUUCUCUGUCCUUGUUUAAUUAGACAUUUCUCAGAGAAUCCUGCCUCUGCUCUGAAGCCUUUCUGUUCGCUCCAGUGAAAAUUAGUCAUCCACCGGGCGCGGUGGCUCACGCCUGCAAUCCCAGCACUUUGGGAGGCCGAGGUCUGGGCUUGAUGUUCACCGAUUUUCCCUCAGCUCCGACUGUGGCUCCUCUCAGCUGACUCUGACCCUGCUCUCAGCCGGGCUGCAUCUGCCCAUCUCAGCACAUCAAUAAACAGCAGAGGGAAACUACCACCUUGGAAGGAGCCAGGCAGUUUCUGCUGGGUAGGCCGCAGCCUGGAACAUGGAAGUAGCUUCUUCCAUCCUACACUGGAAACCACCCAGCAUCCCGGGCCCUCCAGAGAAGAGCCAGACUCCCUUCCCUGGGAAGAGACUAUAGUCCUAUCUAGCUUUUCCUUACUUCAGUAUUGCAUGAUAAUUCUCAAGCCUGUUCUUUACAUAAAUACAAAAAGGAGAAAGUGAAAUAGUAGAGGAACCGACCGAUUUGAAGGAGCUGCCACUAUUUGAUUCCUCCUGUUAGGACAUCUGAAUGACCCCAAGUUCCUGUUCUUGAGGCUGUUGUAUCAUAUUCUUAAAAGCUAUGCAUGCAUUCUGCUUUGAAUGUGUCCCUCAGCCUCAUUCUUCUCCACUUGCUGGGGGCCAUCCCGCCCCACGGGAAGAUCAAGAAGUGAUAACUGGGACUGCUACCUGGAGCUAUCAGAGAGAAAGGCCUGUGCUUCUUUUUGCCUUCACUGGGGUUGGUAGAUGGCUUCCUGACUUUUGAUCAUCAAAGCUUAGACUGAAACUGAGGUUCAAGGAAACUAAAAAGAUCCUGACAGAGGCUGGAGGAGAGAGGGGUUCUUUAGCUGAAUAGUGCACAGGUCAGCUGAACGCCUAGGUCUGAAGAUCUCAGCCUCACCCCAAAACUUCAUACCCCUUUCAUGUCAUAGAAGGAACCAUGAAGGCUGGGGCAAUGACAGUUCAGUCACAGCUAGUGCACACAGAUGAUUAAUAAAUGGAACGGACUCCAUAAUGCCCUAGAGAUGUAUGAGACCCCAGAACUUUGACAUAAUUCUUAAAGUGGAAAAGCCUGAGAAGAUUGGGUUUUUUGUUUCAUAUUUAAAUUUCAUUUUCAAAUGUAAUUGGUUCAACAAAUGAUGCUGGGACAGCUGGAUAUCCACAUGCCAAAGAGUGACACUGGGCACUCACUUCACACAAUAUGCAAAAAUUGAUACAAAAGGGAUCAAAGACUUAAAUGAAAGAGGUAAAACUACAAAACUAAGAAGAAAA